rnacentral:lncRNA from 1 species
AUUUUUAUAAAAUUAACAAGUCAUAGGUGCAGAUAGAUUUUCGGCCUUUAGAUAAUGAUCUUCUAAAAUUAAGUAAGUGGUUGAUUGAAUAGUAUAAUCUAACAAAUAAAAAUAAUUAAAAUAAUAAAUAUAAUAGUAAAAAAUUUAUAAGUAAUAAAUAUUUUUAUCUUUUAAGUUUCUGUUUGGUUCGGGGUUAAGGGGUCAGAUAACCCCUUAAUCCCGGUUUUAUUUCCAAACAUAAUUUUAGUGGGGUGGGGUUAGCUAACCCUCUAACCCCACCCUAAAUGGGCUAAUCCGGAAUAAUCCAUUUAGAGUGGGAUUAGCUAGGGUACAGCUAACCCCACCCCACCCCACUACUCCAACCAAAUAAAAUACUAUUUUAUCCACUAUUCUUUUUAUCCCAUCUAGUCCAAUCAAAUAUUAUUUUUUUUUAAUUCUGGACUAACUCUAAUUCUCAACCAAACACAAAAAUACUAUAACCCUACCUUAAUUCUGAACUUAAUUUUAUUUUUGAAGUAACUAAUUUUUUUCUUAAUCCCGAACCAAACGGUAGCUAAAAGCAUCAUAGUCCAAAAUUUAUAUAC